rnacentral:rRNA from 1 species
AUUGAACGCUGGCGGCAUGCCUUACACAUGCAAGUCGAACGGUAACAGGUCUUCGGAUGCUGACGAGUGGCGAACGGGUGAGUAAUACAUCGGAACGUACCUAGUAGUGGGGGAUAACUACUCGAAAGAGUGGCUAAUACCGCAUGAGAUCUACGGAUGAAAGCAGGGGAUCGCAAGACCUUGUGCUACUAGAGCGGCCGAUGGCAGAUUAGGUAGUUGGUGGGAUAAAAGCUUACCAAGCCGACGAUCUGUAGCUGGUCUGAGAGGACGAUCAGCCAAACUGGGACUGAGACACGGCCCAGACUCCUACGGGAGUCAGCAGUGGGGAAUUUUGGACAAUGGGCGAAAGCCUGAUCCAGCAAUGCCGCGUGCAGGAUGAAGGCCUUCGGGUUGUAAACUGCUUUUGUACGGAACGAAAAGCCCCGGGUUAAUACCCUGGGGUCAUGACGGUACCGUAAGAAUAAGCACCGGCUAACUACGUGCCAGCCGCCGCCGUAA